rnacentral:lncRNA from 1 species
UAUUUUAUCCGAAUUCUGUGUCUCUGUUUCUUUCCGAGAUUUCUGCCACACUGCAAAUACUUGUAUUAACUGUGUAUUGUGGUGCAGCAUCUGAAAUGUCAUCUUGAGUGCAUCACUGUUUUGGGUUUCAGAUGUCCCCAUGAGCCCUGCACUGUGGGAUGACUGCAGAGAUAAAGACCAGCUGGAGAAGUUGGGGAGCAAUCCUGGAGUCAGACGGGAGACAUUUGCCUGGCAUGUUAAUUCACAGAACCCACAGCUUUGGAGGGGACCUGGAAGGGACCAGGUCACACAAGUUCACAGGCUUCUGAAUCACUUGUGACUGCUAUGCUGAAGUCAGGUCUCUAAGGCCUGCAUGUAAAGGAAGUGAGAGAGAUCAGUCCUGAGCCAAUGUUGGGGGAUCCACCCUCACGGUUCAUCACCUUCAAGUACCAUUACACUCAGUCCAGAGAGAUGAUGAUACAAAAAAUUAUAUUGGGGUAUCAAAUAAGAGCCAAGAUACAUCAUGUACAGGUACAAGCACCCAAUGAUAAAUGUAAAUGUAUUGUGUACCUAAAAUGUACCAAUAAAAGAAUUUAAGCAAAAAAAAUGCUUGGAAUGCCACUGUGAUUUGGAGUAGUUUGAAGGUAAAGGAAAUUGGUAUCAACUAUAUGAGGUGUGAUCAAAAUAUAUGGUGAAUGUUUAAAUUAAGAAUAUUUAUUACAGUAAAAGACACAUUGCCAUGAACAAUCCUCAAAGUACUUCCCCUUUCUUCUAACAUACUUAUGUCAUUGUUCUUGCCAUUUUCUGAAGCAGUUCUGAAAGUCCUCUUUCAUGAAGGUCUUUACAAGGUGAGAUAAAAAAAUACAGGGAAUGCUGCUGCCAAGUGCCAUCCAACAGAAGGGCAAGCUCAUACAAACAUCAUGGUGUGUCCUCGUCCACCUUACUCACCACACCUUACUCACCAGACCAUGCCACUUCUGGCCUUCCUUAAUGCCAAAAUGAACAUGAGAGGUAAACGUUUUGGAUUGAUUCAGGACAUUGAGGCAGCCAUGACAGCACAACUAAAGACACAAAAGAGCACUUUCAGAACUGCUUCAGAAAGUAGCCAGAAAGAUGGGAUGUGUGUUUGAGGAAAGAGGAAGUAUUUUGAAGGGGG